rnacentral:rRNA from 1 species
AGCGUACACGGUGGAUGCCCUGGCAGUCAGAGGCGAUGAAGGACGUGCUAAUCUGCGAUAAGCGUCGGUGAGGUGAUAUGAACCGUUAUAACCGGCGAUUUCCGAAUGGGGAAACCCAGUGUGUUUCGACACACUAUCAUUAACUGAAUCCAUAGGUUAAUGAGGCGAACCGGGGGAACUGAAACAUCUAAGUACCCCGAGGAAAAGAAAUCAACCGAGAUUCCCCCAGUAGCGGCGAGCGAACGGGGAGGAGCCCAGAGCCUGAAUCAGUGUGUGUGUUAGUGGAAGCGUCUGGAAAGGCGCGCGAUACAGGGUGACAGCCCCGUACACAAAAAUGCACAUAUUGUGAGCUCGAUGAGUAGGGCGGGACACGUGGUAUCCUGUCUGAAUAUGGGGGGACCAUCCUCCAAGGCUAAAUACUCCUGACUGACCGAUAGUGAACCAGUACCGUGAGGGAAAGGCGAAAAGAACCCCGGCGAGGGGAGUGAAAAAGAACCUGAAACCGUGUACGUACAAGCAGUGGGAGCCUCUUAAUGGGGUGACUGCGUACCUUUUGUAUAAUGGGUCAGCGACUUAUAUUCUGUAGCAAGGUUAACCGAAUAGGGGAGCCGAAGGGAAACCGAGUCUUAACUGGGCGUUAAGUUGCAGGGUAUAGACCCGAAACCCGGUGAUCUAGCCAUGGGCAGGUUGAAGGUUGGGUAACACUAACUGGAGGACCGAACCGACUAAUGUUGAAAAAUUAGCGGAUGACUUGUGGCUGGGGGUGAAAGGCCAAUCAAACCGGGAGAUAGCUGGUUCUCCCCGAAAGCUAUUUAGGUAGCGCCUCGUGAAUUCAUCUCCGGGGGUAGAGCACUGUUUCGGCAAGGGGGUCAUCCCGACUUACCAACCCGAUGCAAACUGCGAAUACCGGAGAAUGUUAUCACGGGAGACACACGGCGGGUGCUAACGUCCGUCGUGAAGAGGGAAACAACCCAGACCGCCAGCUAAGGUCCCAAAGUCAUGGUUAAGUGGGAAACGAUGUGGGAAGGCCCAGACAGCCAGGAUGUUGGCUUAGAAGCAGCCAUCAUUUAAAGAAAGCGUAAUAGCUCACUGGUCGAGUCGGCCUGCGCGGAAGAUGUAACGGGGCUAAACCAUGCACCGAAGCUGCGGCAGCGACACUAUGUGUUGUUGGGUAGGGGAGCGUUCUGUAAGCCUGUGAAGGUGGCCUGUGAGGGUUGCUGGAGGUAUCAGAAGUGCGAAUGCUGACAUAAGUAACGAUAAAGCGGGUGAAAAGCCCGCUCGCCGGAAGACCAAGGGUUCCUGUCCAACGUUAAUCGGGGCAGGGUGAGUCGACCCCUAAGGCGAGGCCGAAAGGCGUAGUCGAUGGGAAACAGGUUAAUAUUCCUGUACUUGGUGUUACUGCGAAGGGGGGACGGAGAAGGCUAUGUUGGCCGGGCGACGGUUGUCCCGGUUUAAGCGUGUAGGCUGGUUUUCCAGGCAAAUCCGGAAAACCAAGGCUGAGGCGUGAUGACGAGGCACUACGGUGCUGAAGCGACAAAUGCCCUGCUUCCAGGAAAAGCCUCUAAGCAUCAGGUAACAUCAAAUCGUACCCCAAACCGACACAGGUGGUCAGGUAGAGAAUACCAAGGCGCUUGAGAGAACUCGGGUGAAGGAACUAGGCAAAAUGGUGCCGUAACUUCGGGAGAAGGCACGCUGAUAUGUAGGUGAAGCGACUUGCUCGUGGAGCUGAAAUCAGUCGAAGAUACCAGCUGGCUGCAACUGUUUAUUAAAAACACAGCACUGUGCAAACACGAAAGUGGACGUAUACGGUGUGACGCCUGCCCGGUGCCGGAAGGUUAAUUGAUGGGGUUAGCGGUAAGGCGAAGCUCUUGAUCGAAGCCCCGGUAAACGGCGGCCGUAACUAUAACGGUCCUAAGGUAGCGAAAUUCCUUGUCGGGUAAGUUCCGACCUGCACGAAUGGCGUAAUGAUGGCCAGGCUGUCUCCACCCGAGACUCAGUGAAAUUGAACUCGCUGUGAAGAUGCAGUGUACCCGCGGCAAGACGGAAAGACCCCGUGAACCUUUACUAUAGCUUGACACUGAACAUUGAGCCUUGAUGUGUAGGAUAGGUGGGAGGCUUUGAAGUGUGGACGCCAGUCUGCAUGGAGCCGACCUUGAAAUACCACCCUUUAAUGUUUGAUGUUCUAACGUUGGCCCGUAAUCCGGGUUGCGGACAGUGUCUGGUGGGUAGUUUGACUGGGGCGGUCUCCUCCUAAAGAGUAACGGAGGAGCACGAAGGUUGGCUAAUCCUGGUCGGACAUCAGGAGGUUAGUGCAAUGGCAUAAGCCAGCUUGACUGCGAGCGUGACGGCGCGAGCAGGUGCGAAAGCAGGUCAUAGUGAUCCGGUGGUUCUGAAUGGAAGGGCCAUCGCUCAACGGAUAAAAGGUACUCCGGGGAUAACAGGCUGAUACCGCCCAAGAGUUCAUAUCGACGGCGGUGUUUGGCACCUCGAUGUCGGCUCAUCACAUCCUGGGGCUGAAGUAGGUCCCAAGGGUAUGGCUGUUCGCCAUUUAAAGUGGUACGCGAGCUGGGUUUAGAACGUCGUGAGACAGUUCGGUCCCUAUCUGCCGUGGGCGCUGGAGAACUGAGGGGGGCUGCUCCUAGUACGAGAGGACCGGAGUGGACGCAUCACUGGUGUUCGGGUUGUCAUGCCAAUGGCACUGCCCGGUAGCUAAAUGCGGAAGAGAUAAGUGCUGAAAGCAUCUAAGCACGAAACUUGCCCCGAGAUGAGUUCUCCCUGACUCCUUGA